CCCUGCAGUUUCAGGCUGAGCUGGAACCUGCAGCAGUCUUUCGACGGACUUCUGUAGCCUCGUUCGGUAUUUUACGUUGAAGGCUAAAAGCACCAUCUUCUCAAGCAAUGCCAGAAUGUAUGCAGAGCAGCACACAGAACCGCAGUUUGUGUGGAGAACACGAACGAAGGAAAGAGAAAAAGAUACCAGACUGGCAGCGAUCCCAAGCUGCUCACACGCUGAUGUUCAAGACAGCACAUGUGUGUGCCACAUGAGCAGGUGAAACUGUGAUCCUACAUGUGCGGAAGGGAGAAUAGUAAUUAAACAAUCAGAUGUGCUAAGUGCAUCAUGCUGGGACACCACUACGCUUCAGAUGGGCUACGAGGGUUGAAACCUGAGGCAAUAACUCAGGAAGCAGCCAAGUUACAGCUAUGAUCAUAAGGAUUUCCAUGAGGUCCCUGAAGUGAAACGAUGCCUUAGUGUCCCAACACACUUCCCAGCAGAAGUCAGACACUUCACCGCCUAAGGCACCCUUCAGCUUCGAAGACGCUAAGAUUUCACUCUGGAUUCGUUCCACAGCUCCUCUCCUGCCUUAACGGGCUGCAGCCCUCCCCACUGAGACUCCCCACCGCUGCCUGCUCUCCAGGACGGUGACUUCCCCUCGCAAUGAGACCGCCUGGACCUGUCCCAGCGGGCUGAGCACUCUGCCCUCUGCCGGGCCGGAGCUGCGGUACCACAAACCAUGCACCGCUGGUUGGCAGCGAUGGAGGGGCACAGGGAGCCCCCCGGCAAGAAGAUUUCCUUCUGAUUUUAAUUGUGACUGCCAAAAGGGUAGUGAAAGGGGUUGCAAUAAAGCCUGAGGAGUUAAAAUCUGUGCUUGCUUUAACAGCUGUCAAAAACUUUCAUUCCAGAGCAGCAUGGAUUUCUGCAUCCUGUUUUGUCCUUCCCUCUCCAUUUGGACUGAUAGUAUUUGCCCAGAAAUUUUUUAUAUUUUAUUUUUAACUAGAAUGUGAUCAUUAUGUUAAAAAUAAUUAUUAUCAUUAUUUCUUUUGAUGUAGAGGCCAUAGUGUCUGGAGAACACGGGUUUAGGCUUUGCACUGUCACUGAACUAUUAACCUAAACUGCACGGACACGCAAUGCCAAAUACCCAUGCAUUUGUUCAGCUGGUCAUGGCCCUUUUUAAAGCAAAACACGGGGAUUUUCUCAAGAAGAGAUACAGCAGAGGGUCACAGAGGGCACCUACCCUUCUGCUCCAACCCUGACCUGAGGAGCACCAUUGGGGCCCUGUUGUUUCUCCUGUCCAAAAUUACACACUCAGAGGGUGUUGAGCACCACAGCCCUGAUCUCUUGCGCCGUCUCUGAGAACUGCUGUCAUGUGAGCAAUAAGUGCCCAUCAGUGAAUAUUUCACUCCACUUUCUCCUGCUGAAUGCAAGGCAGCUUGGAGUUUUGCCUCUUGUGAUAGAAGCCUUGUGUACCAUGAACCCAAGCUGUACACAGAUUACCUGCCUUUACUUAACCGUGUGUAGAAUUGCCUACCAGGAAUCCCAGUAUAUUUUAUAUGUCAUUAAUGAAGUUAACAUUUCUAUUAAAUACUGCUCCUUUCUGGGAUUCCUACUCAACCUUGAGGAUAAUAAUCAAGAAAAAACAAAACAAAACAAAAAAACCUUUCUGUCACAUUAUUAAAUGUUUGAUUGCAACAGCAUAGAAGACUUGGGUAGUACAAUGCCACAUUGGCAUCUUUCCAGUAUAGGAAAUUUUUUCCAUACCUUUUUUUUUUCCCCCAAGUCAAUAUAUAGCAAAACAGUUGCUUUCUUUAAUAUCACAGAUUUAUCCAGAGUUUACAAUGCAAUCAUUGCUCCUUGCUAUUGGAAAUGAUUUAUUUAGCCAGUUUUGGCCUUCAUUCCAAAAGGCUGAAUGCCAAAUCAUUACAGUGUAUCUGGUGUUCUGUUGUCAGAAAAUAUGAUCUAGCAUUAAGAUACUACUCAGAGACUCUGAAAGCCAGAGAAAAUAAUUGUGGUAAAUCAAAACCUCAUAAAUACUUUAUAAAGUUGUUUUUAAUGUCUGUCCUUAUGUGUGACAAAAAAGUACCAGUUUACAUGCAAUGAGAAUACGUGAGUUUGGAGGCUUCAUUUCCUAUACUGUCUAAGUUUUAAAACCUUGUUAUAGUCAAUCCCAUAUAGAUGCAGAAGUCAGGCAGUUGUUGUCACAUUAUAUUUUCUGGUACUACUGCAUUUUAAUAAGCCAAAAGACAGUAAACUACUUUUCUAGAUUUAACUCCAAAUGAUGUAUUUUCUUUUAUCUUUUUUCUUUUUUCCUCUUUUUUUUUUUUAAAGAGAGUACCAAGAGUAUAAGAACUGUAUACAUGGCUCUGAAGUUGAGGCCACAACCAUGCAAGCAUAUACACACAGUAAAUGCUCAAGGCAGUUAAAGAAAAGCACAUGCCAAAGACUUAGGAGCAGCUGGCCCCAAAUUCUGGCCUCAACACACCAUGUGAAAUUGAACAUGUGUGGACUAGGUUUGACUCCCUUCAGAUGCCUCUGGAACACAAUAAUAUCUCACUGGGUAAGAAAUCUGUUCUGUCUUCCAAACUACUUAUGCCAAUAACUUAAUAUUUCUCCACCAAAAAAUCCAUAACGAUUUUCCUGUGCAGCACAUCACUGUGAUGGAUCACGGUGAUUGCCGGAAGCUUGGAAAUGGUAGCAUAUCGGGGAUGGAUAUUAAACUGACUCUGUCUAGAGGCAUGGGAAUCAUGAGGGAGCAACAGGCAGGAUAAUAAACUCAAGCAGAGAUCAUGUCCAGAUCUUGCUCUGUAAAUAUUCCACUUAUUUUUGGAGAACCAGAAAUCUAUCGUUUACCUUUUAUGGUUAUAAAAUUGCAUUACCCACAAGUGAAGUGGGGGCCAGAGAAGUUGCUACCUCACAUCGUAUUGAAUACAAAUUCAGAAGCAACUAGCCAAUGCAAUAUGGAGAGGUGCUUUCUGCAAAAAGGAAACCACAGAGUCCAGGAGGGAACAUUGUGUUGAAAAAGGGGGCUGGGCUUGGAGGUAGAGCUCAGCCUGAUCUCACUCAGUUGACACUAACAGUUUAAACCAUGGCUUCAUUCCAAAGGAGGACCGAAUUUGUUUGAUCACACUCAUGCAUCACUCUGAAAGAAACAGAAGGCAAUGAAAACACGGAAAUCUCUGAUGUACUUGAUAAGCUAUAGAAGCAAUAGCAAUUUCACCCAGCUUUGUUUUUUUGCUUGGUUGCAUUAUUGCUUUUUUGUUAGCAAGGAAAGAGUCUGAUCUACAUAUUCCAGGGUGACCAAUAACUUUGUGGUCCUGGCUCAGAAGAAACAAGAAUCUAUUUCAUAGAUUGUAAGCAACUUUUAUAAGUGUUUCAUGCUGAACAGACACAUUCAGAAUCUUUAAACAAUUUUGAAAAUUCUGACCAUCAUGUGGACUUCUUUCUAGCAAGAGUAGUAAUGGCAUCUCACCAAGAAACCCAAAGUGAGGAAGAAGGAAUCUGGGGACAACCGUAAAACAACAGUAUUUCUCCUUACACCCUGCUUUUAAUCUGCUUUUAAUCUGUCCUGAUUUCCUUGUACAUCAAUAUUUUUUUUUGAAUAAGCAAGCCCCUCUACUGACUCUGCAAUGACAGUCUCACUUCAAAAAAAUUGAAAUCACUAGUCUUAAUGAAUGUUGAAUCAAAACCCAACAUUCCAGAAAAAUGCUUGGCUUUGAUCCACAUAUAUCUUAGGAUAACAGACCUGCAGAGUACAUUCCACUUUAGAAGACUGUAAAUAUGACUUACUCUUAGCUUAUUAGGAUUGUGGAAUAAGAACUUUUCAGUUGAAGACAGCUUUCAAUGGUCUUUCAAUACCCUCAAAGUUUGAUGAUAAGUAUGAAAUGAAACACUAGCAGUGUAAAAGGGAAAACAUGCACUAUACAAGAAACAAAGUUUUCUUCACUUACAUUCAACUUCUAAGAUAUAUAAUUAAAGCUUUUACCAACCAAAAAUACUUUUCACUGAAAUAUCCUAAUAAUCUCUUUCUCUAGGCGAUUCCACAGUGUAUUUACUUUAUGUCUCUGUUUCAUUGAUGUUAUUCUUAAGAUAAGAAGAAGUCAUCAUCCAUAUUCUUCCAUAGAAGUAUCAUAGAAUGGCUUGGGUUGGAAGGGACCCCAAGGAUCAUCCAGUUCCAAACCCCUCCACAAGUAGGGCAGCCGACCUCCAGAUCUCGUACUAGACCAGGUUGCCCAGGGCCCCACACAACCUGGUCUUGAACACAUCCAAAGACAGUGCACCCACAGCUGCUCUGGGCAGCCAGUUCCAGCACCUCACCACUCUCUCUGUGAAGAACUUCCCCCUAACAUUCAAUCUAAACCUUCCCUCCUUGAGCUUAAAACCAUUCCACCUUGUCCUAUCAACAGAAUUACAGGCAUCAGCUAGAGCUGGCAGACACAAUUCACACAUGUAGGCAUGAUUUUUAAAGUUCUACCUCAACAGGUAUUCUAUUGUGUUUAAAACAACAGCCCCAUUCAGUUUAGCUACAAUUUUAGCGGUUGAGUAUUCUGCAAAUUCAUUUGCCACAGACUCUGCCAUCAGACACCCAAAACAAACAAUACACAGUUACUGACUGUUUCUCAGAAGGCGGUUUUAAUAGCCUUCUAUUACCAACCCCAGGAAGCAGAAGUAGGAAGAUAAUAUCAGGCAUCAUGAAGAUGCUAUACAUGCAAGACUAUUUUUCCAUCUUCUGCAGUCCCUCAGUACAGCUUCCAGUUUCUGCAACAAGUGAGAACUGUUGCUUUGCUAUAGUACGCAAAUCCAAUCUUCUAACAAGUUCUGUCUGAAUACUAUUUUUUUUUCCCUGCUAAAAUAGGAGAUAAACAUGCAAGCCAAACAUUUCGUAAUUAAAGCUGCCUGAAGGGUUCAGGUUAUCUCCACGUGUUCCAUAGAAAAUUCUGCAAUUAAGAAAAUGCCUCAAAAAUCUGUAUUAAAAAAAGUAAGCUUUCCGAAGCUAAUCUGUUUUAAUGAUUCCAACUGUCUGUAGUUUUUAAUGUUACAUUUUUUUCAAAAUAAAAAAAAAACCACCCACAAAGUGACAAGAAUAUUAAACAUUUAAUUCUGAAAACAAGAUAACAAAGCCAUGCAGAAGUAUCAAAGGACAUUCUCUCCUCCCCUAUUACCUAAGGAAAUCUUUGAAAUGGGCAGAUGUUAACAUAAAUUAUCCUCAGCCAAAUUAUGAUAUAACCAAAAUUUUGAAAACUUUAAAAGCAUUGUAGUAUUCUCUUAAGUUGCUCAUCUAUAUGUGAUUUUCUGCUUCUCUUAAAAAUGCAAGCCAUAAAAUCAGAAGCAAAAUGAAAUUCUGUCAGAUGGUAUUAGAUUAUCAUCCAUUUAGUUGGCAACAUUGAGAUCUUUUGCAGACUAGAUACUGAGAGUUAAUGGAGGAGCUAACAGCCAAAGUACUAUUUAUGUUUGGGUUUCAUUUCCUGUCGCAGAAGAAAUUGUGAUAACCAGGAACUCAAGACUCAUAGAAAGUUUUUUACAUUACUAUAUUCUAUAGCUAUUCCAUACUUUGUCAUGAUUUCUGCUUGCAUCUUCAUUCUUGCUUGUGAUUUUCCUUAAAGAUCUAUGUGAAUUAAGAACUGUUUUGUGUUUACGAAGUACAUCAAGGCCAAGUGGAAGGUCCUGCACCUGGCAGGCAUAAGUGCAGGCUAGGUAGAAAAUGAAUUGAGAGCAUCCCUGGGGAGAAGGACUUAGUGUGUUUGUUGAUGGGAAGAUCAACAUGAGCCAGCAAUGUGCUCUUGCACCCAGAAAAUCAACAGUAUCCUGGACUGCAACAAAAGAAGUAUAGCUAGUCGGUCAAGGGAAGGGAUUCUCCUCCUUUACUUUGCCUUUGCUUCUCAUUUUUAUUGCUCAGCAUUGUGCUGCAUGGUAGGAAAUAUCCUUUUGACCAGUUUGAGUCAGCUGUCUUGGUUCUGUCCCUUACCAGCUUCUUCUGCACUCCCAGUUUCCUUACUGGUGGGGCAGUAUGAGAAGCCAAAAAUCCCUGACUUAGUGCAAGCACUACUAAGUAACAACAUCAGUGUGCUAUUAACAUUAUUUUCACGCUAAAUCAAAAAAAUGGCGCCAUUACCACUCACAUUCCCAGUUUCUUUUGCAACCAUGUGUUUUUGAGCUCUGAAUUCUUUUUUACAAAAGUUUUGAGGAAAUACUUAUGACAACAACAUUUUUUUCGUUGUUAACUAUCAGCAAAUAUUUCAUGGGGAGAAGGGAUAGUUAGGCAUGUAAAGAAAAAAGAAUGUUCAAAACAAGAAAAGAAAUUUUCAGUGAAUUUUGUUUUCUGAUUUCAGCUGACAAUAUGUGAAACUUUAGUACUUUUAUGCAAGAUGACUGGAUUACUAAUAGGAUGCUUUAAAUACUUUCUCUUGGUAAGGUUCUUAAUUUUUAAUCUCAGGGAAAGAAAAACACAGCAAUAUUCUUCCAAAUACAAUGCUCUCAAUCCAGAAGAAAAAUGAGUACUAGCACAGUAGGUGGUCGCCUUCCUGCUGAAUCACUAUCAAUGCCUGCACCAUCUGGAUUUUCCUUGGAGACCUCCUAUCCAAGAACUGACAAGACCAAAUCUUAUUUAUGUGACGAGAUCAUAUGUAUGCAAGCAAAUCUAGUAUCAUUUGUUAAGUUUACAAAUACUGUAUGAAACAACUAGUGUGUAAGUAGGCUUUAUGAAAUUCUAUGUCAGUGAAAUUUUGUGUAUUAUUCAGUUUACAUACACUUGUAAGAAAAAUGUACCCAGUAAAUAAAAUAAGAUUUCAUUUUUGUUGGAAAAAAAAUAUAAAAAGUUAUUUUAGUAAAAAUGAAUAAUUAAUGUAAUUAUUGCCUGUGCCCAUUUUUUUCAUCAUGCAGAACAUCCAAAAGCGGUAGGUCAAGAGGUAGCAUAGCAGCCUACAAAAACUGAAUUAAACAGAGCUUAUACAAUGAAAUUAAAUAUUUUGUGCCCAAAAGCUUUGAUUUAUUAGGUAAUUUAACUUUUUAACUGCAGCUUAAUUUCAUUCUGUGUAGAA